GAAAAGAAACUAACCAGGAUUUCCUUAGUAGCGGCGAGCGAACAGGAAAAAGCCCAGCACUGAAUCCCGCGGUCGUAACGAUCGCGGGAGAUGUGGUGUUCGGGAGGUGCCGUAUUCUCGUUAUAUUCAUGCUCGUCCAAGUUCGUCUUGAACGGGGCCGUUUUCCCGUAGAGGGUGCCAGGCCCGUAGCGACGAGCGACUGUAGCGAGAGGUACACUCCUCAGAGUCGGGUUGCUUGAGAGUGCAGCCCUAAGCGGGUGGUAAACUCCAUCUAAGGCUAAAUAUUACCGCGAGACCGAUAGCGAACAAGUACCGUGAGGGAAAGUUGAAAAGAACUUUGAAGAGAGAGUUCAAUAGUACGUGAAACCGUUCAGGGGUAAACCUGCGAAACUCGAAUGAACGAACGAAGAGAUUCAUCGUUGUUCAUUGUGCGUCUUGUGUAUGUGUGAUGUUGUUGAUUUCGAUUAACGAUACACGUGUACAUUAUGUGCGUAUAGUGACGGCGUGCACUUCUCUUUUAGUAACUUCAUCGCGACCCGUUCGAUGUCGAUGUAAGCUUCUUGCCAGAUUCGUCCGUUGAUCUUCACGGUCAACGGUGCUGGUGGAACGCUGAUCGGCUGUCGGACGGUAUGAUGUGUGUUUGCGCACGCGCUUGCGCGCGUCCGGCACGACGCAAGGCUGCGCCGCUUCGAUUCCCUGCCGUUUAGGCGGUCGUUGUUGCGGCGCGGUCUGUCGUGGCUGCCGUACAGUCUCGGACUGUGCGCAUCACGGUCAGCGAUGUAUACGUUUCGGGCACUCGCAGGACCCGUCUUGAAACACGGACCGAGGAGUCUAGCAUGUGUGCGAGUCAAUGAGACAAAUGAAAACUGAAAGGCGCAACGAAAGUGAAGAAGUGUGCUCGUCACGCUUUUAGGGAAUAUGGAGCGAGAUUUCGAUCUCGUUCUCGCACUCCCGAGGCGUCUCUUUUCCAAUUUGUGAAUGCAGGCGCGCUCUGAGG
rnacentral:rRNA from 1 species